CUGGGAUACAUUAUAGACUAGUACCACAAUAGUAGACUUGACUGACCUGGGAGACAUUAUAGACUAGAACCACACUAGUAGACUUGACUGAUCUUUGAGACAUUAUAGACUGGUAACACAAUAGUAUCUUGACUGACCUGGGGGAUCGUUAUAGACCGAUACCACAAUAGUAGACUUCUCUCAAUCUGAUCGUCUUGUUAAUCUAAUGCUACUUCAUCCCCUAUUAUUCCCUUACUAGUAUCCUAUCCUAUAGCUCUAUUUGUUUUAGAAAAAUAAAAUCCUUUUAGAUCUCUCUAUUUUUAAAUUCGUUUUAAAAUUAAAAAGCACAAGGAUCAUACAAUUAUAACCCAUUUUAAAAUAAGUAUGAUACUAACCAUUUACAAAAUAGAAAAGUACAUUUUAAAAUGUCUAUGUAAAGUGUCACUAUCAGCAAUGUCUAUGAUAAAUGUUCUUAUAGCUUUGGUUUUAUGUCUCUAGCCUACACUUUGUUGUUUAAACAAAUGUUGAAUGUAGUUUCCUAGUUCAAGACACUCUCUCAUUUUGUACUCGACAAAGUAAAAUAUCAAACUUUUUAGUCCUAGGUUUUAAACAUUCACAAUUAUUUCGUUUUAAAAUCUUUCACAAAUCAAAAUAUUUCUCAAGUUUUAUUAGUUGAUCUAAUUUAUUUGUUCUUAACAUUCCAAACAUUUGUUUAGGUCAAAUGGAUUCUGAUAUGUAAAGAACUACAUGACAGAUGAAUAUUUAAAACAUUAAUUUUGUAUUUACUUGAAACUAAUCAAUGCUUUUUUUGCUGUCUUUAUUUCUCUGCAUGCAGACAUAAAGUCUUUCUUCUUCUUAUUGUGUAGUCCAUGUUGAUCAUUGGGUUAGUUUUGUAAGUAAAUAUUUAUUGUUUGAUACUGUCUGAAUACAAACUUUGUGUGUCUGUGUAUGAUCUGUAA